rnacentral:lncRNA from 10 species
AGACGCCUACCCCGCCUGAGCCAGAGGAAGGGAGGAAAACAAUAGCAAAAACCAGGACCCUUCGGACUUGCCGCUGAAUGGGGAUUUUCGUCGGAUGUUGAGUUUACCUGGAAUGCCCCGGUGUUAUUUUGGGAAGGCAGACAUCCCACGGAAACAAUGAAGUGGAAAAGAAAACAGCUAAAGCAAAAUCUAGAGCCCAGUUUUUGCCAAACCAGCCCCACGUGGGCUGGGCAGGCUCUGGAAGCCCAAGUCAGGCCGAUGAAGAGCGGCUGAGGCCGUGGGGAUCUGGUUUACCAGGAGGGCACAUGGAGGAUGCAAGAAAAGGAAGAGCCGUAUUCAAGUCCCCACUUCAGUGAUGAGGCAGAAAGACCCUGCGCCUGACCACGUGGGAACAGCCUGCAGUGAGCGGUGACGCCGCCUGGCUUGAGCUAAGUGCUGGGCUCCACCAUUCAUUGGCUGAGUGACCUUAGAUGAGAAGAGAAUGAGCCAUGUGUUUCCUGAAACAUCCAGUGGCCUCACCGGAGAAUCUGCAAGAGCCGGUAAACCCAGAAGCUUGGCCGUCCAUUCCUGGAAGCAGACAUUGUGUCUUCGUCCACCAAGCCCCUGGCUCUCAACACUCACUGUGGUGGCAAGAACAUGGCACCUUGACCCUACACAGUUCUUCCAUUUUUCAGAAGCAGGUGAGCACAGAUUGCUGGGAUGGAGUGAGUAAAAGAUAUAAACUGGACUGGGCACGGUUGCUCGCACCUGUAAUCCCAGCACUUUGGGAGGCCGAAGCGGGCGGAUCGCUUGAGCUCAGGAGUUCGAGAUUAGUCUAGGCAACAUAGUGAGAAGCUAUCUUAAAAAAAAUUUAAAUAAAAGUUAUAAACCAAGGCUUGGGGUUUCUGGGUGCUUUGCCAGGACCUGUUCUUGGGCAGAACUGAAUAUAUACUCAAUUCUGAGGAGGGAAGAGGAAGGUCAUGGCUAAAAGGUAGGCUCUGAAAUCAGACUCCCGGAGCUCAAAUCCCAGCACUCUCUGCUUGCCACUUAGACUUCAGGUAGGGGAGGGGGAUAUAAAUGUUUGAGCCUCAGUCCCCUCCUCUGUAAAAUGGGGGCAGUAAAUGUACUGCACACAGCUGCAAGGUGUGAAUGAGGCGAUGCACGUAAAACACAGUGCCUAUAGUAUCACAUUGGGGUUUUUUGGUGUUUUUUGUUUUUGUUUUUGUUUUUUUGACAGAGGGUCUCACUCUGUCACCCAGGCUGGAGUGCAAUGGAGUGAUCUCAGCUCACUGCAGCCUUGACCUCCUGGGCUCAACCACUUUUCCCACCUCUGCCUUCAAAGUAGCUGGGACUAUAGCCAUGUGCUACCACGCCCAGCUAAUUUUUGCAUUUUUUUGUAGAGAUGGGGUUUCACCAUAUUGCCCAGGCUGGUCUAGAACUCCUGAGCUCGAGUGAUCCACCCGCCUCGACCUCCCAAAGUGCUGGGAUUACAGACGUGUGCCACCAUGCUCAGCCCCACACUCGUCUUUAAGAAAAUUAAAAUAAAAUUGUUUUAAACACAGUGUCUGGCACAGAAUAGAUGCUCAAUAAACACCAGCUGCUACAAUUAGAGGGGAAAUCAUCAUAAUUGUUGGAUUAAAACAUAAUAAAAGACCCCAGUUGCCUUGUUCAAGGCAGUAUUUUCAGAAGCAAAGUUUUAAAAGUUUAAAAAGAGGUCAGUAUUUUAAGUCAUGUCAGCUCCACAGCCACGGAAGUGCUGGAAAGGCACCAAGCCUCCUCUCGGUUUGCAGUGAAACGCUCCUCUUCCGUCUGAGGGCUAUCGUUCCAGCAGAGAUCAACACAAUGGACUCUGGGAUGGACAUUGUUCUCCAACAGGCCUGGCCCUGGCCCAGCUGGGCUCCAGACCCUUGUCCCCAGGUUUUGACCCCACCCAGACCUUUGCCUGGGACGGAAAGCUGCUUCAUUUCAGGAGACACCUGAAGUACCUGGGUUGGUUCAGAGACUACCAGAAGUUUUUGGACUUCUUCUAGUCCUUUAAUGGCCAAAAGGACUCAAGGGCCUGGCAUGUAAUGGAAAAGGCAUCACCUCUCUCAUGGAACGCAGCUGGAAGGACCAACCCCUUCAUAGUUACAGGAAUCUGAGCUAUGAAGACACUAGCCAGGCAACAAGGCCCUGGGCUCAGACACAGAUGAAGUUUCUCUGGAAGAGAAAUCUGGCCUGUUACAGACCUGGGAAGUGCCAAGGCUUAGCUCCUGAGAAGGAUUGCUGGUGCUGACAGCUGGGAGUCAGGACUCCAGGGCCACUUGUAUGGAAGCUGGUGCCCGUGGUGCAGGAGGAUGGGGGCUCUGGAUUCUGCACCACCCCCCAUAGACUGGCCCCUCAGAGGGCUCCUGUGGUGUCAGAGCCCUCUCACAAGCGCCUGCCGUGGUUAUCAGCUGAAGCUGAGUGCUUGUGGAGUGUGGACAGAGGGCAGAGGGAGAGAAGCAGCCAUGGGCUUCCUGCCAGGAAGCUCAGCAGCUCCGAGGAGACUGGAGAGUCAUGGGACACAGUGCGUCCUCCCCAGAACAGCCUCCAGCCUGCCAGUUCAGAGCACACGCUUGGAGGCAGGAAGGCUGAGGUCCAACCCCAUUCCUGCUAUGGGCCAGCUGAGAGCUGUGGACAAGUCAUUCGGCUUCUCUGAGCCGCAGUCUUCUCACCUGUAAAGCGGGGGUAAUAAUACCCUCCUCACAAGGUUGUUGCAAGGCUUUGUGGGGAAAAAUACAAAGUGCACAGAGUUGUUCAGUAAGGCGUGGGCCUGCGGGGAAAGGCGGGGCCAUGAGCUGGCCAGGGGAGGAAAGGACAGAUGGGGACUCCAGAUAAUGAAAGCAUCUUUGCAUCCUCAAUGAUAUAAUCUGGGUUUGUUGUUGUUGUUGUUGUUUGAGACAGAGUCUCGCUCUGUCCCCCAGGCUGGAGUGCAGUGGUGCAAUUUCAGCUCACUGCAACCUGUACUUCCCGGGUUCAAGUGAUUCUCCUGCCUCAGCUUCCUGAGUAGCUGGGAUUACAGGUGCCCGCCACCAUGCCUGGCUAAUUUUUCUGUUUUUAAUAGAGACAGGGUUUCGCCAUGUUGGCCAGGAUGGCCUCGAGCUCCUGACCUCAGCUGAUCCACCCUCCUCAGCCUCCCAAAGUGCUGCGAUUACAGGCAUGAGCCACCGCGCCCGGCCCAUCUGGAGUUUUUUUGUUUGUUUGUUCCUCAUAAAGGCUACGAGGAGAGGAAGGGGCCUAGAACACAGGAUGGUGGAAGAGGGGCUCAUGGGUGGAGGGGAGGAGAGCAGAUGAGCAGGGACCCUCCCCCUUCCUCGGCAACCAUGGGGUUUGCCACACAUAUAUUUUUGAUGUCCCAUGUAUCAGGUGGAGAUGUCAACUUCUAUGAACUGAAAUAAACUGUUUCCCUAUGUGUAAAAUGAAGGGCACUUCAAGUCUGUCCAAGUACAACCAGGUGUCUCUAGAUACCCCGAGCCUGAGAAAUCACCCGUGUAGAUGCACACAGGCAUACACUCACACAUAUGCACAAUCACAUACACUCACAUUUUGUUACCUGGGUUCAAAUUAGACUAGCUGAUAGUUGAGGAUAGCCAUGGGUUCCAAGCUUAGGCACAUCUUUGCUGUGGCUGUUAGGCCUCACCCAGGUUGAGAGAAGGACUAAGACCCAGGUCUACUUGCUUGUCUGGUCUCUCUAUAUUAUCCUAGUAGCAAGUUAGAGAAUUGCGCCAGGGAGAAUGCAGCAGAAAAGAGGAGGAUAUGGAAUCAUCCUAGGGCAAGCCAGGAGGCAGGGGUACAAGGGCCUUAGCUUUCCUGUACCCCCAGAUACAGCCCAGAGUGAAUAAAAAGCUGAACUCAGCCCAGGAAGGUCCUGGAAGACCUGCCAGUGCCUGAGUCACACAGUGAUGCCUGGGCUGAAACCAGGGGGAGUCAGGGAGUAACAUUUACAGGGUCUUCUCCCCAUGGCUCUCUCAACCCAGGACCAAGCAUGGUGGCUUCCUGAGAGUAGCAACACUGAAUCAUUGAGUUAU